GGGGCCGACCUGGUUUCGACGUGGGUAACGAAGCAGUGCAGGGCAUACCGAGGACCCGUCACCUCGUAAAUCAAUGGGACUUAAGUAACCGCAAACGAUAACUCGUUCGCCGUAGCGGCUUAACCCCGCUCGCCUCGCACUGGCUCGCUGACGGGCUAGGGUCGCAAGACUAGCGAGGUCAUUUACGUCAGAUAAUCCUCGGUGGUGUCACGACGCCGGGGCCGAAAACCUAGUGACUCGCCGUAACGAAGCGUGUUCGUCCGCGUCGGUGCGGUUAAAUCAAAUGGCAGAACUAAGUAUGUAGAACUGGCUGUGGACUAUUUGCGGACGCGGGUUCGAUUCCCGCCGGCUCCACCA
rnacentral:tmRNA from 1 species